UGAGGAAUAUUGGGCAAUGCCCGCAAGGGUGACCCAGCAACGCCGCGUGGAGGAUGAAGGUCGUAAGAUCGUAAACUCCUGUUAGAGGGGAAGAAUAGCUAAGUUUGGAGCUUAGUAUGACUGUACCCUCAGAGAAAGCCCCGGCUAACUACGUGCCAGCAGCCGCGGUAAUACGUAGGGGGCAAGCGUUGUCCGGAUUUACUGGGUGUAAAGGGCGCGCAGGCGGGAUAACAAGUCAGAGGUGAAAUCCUACAGCUUAACUGUAGAACUGCCUUUGAUACUGUUAUUCUUGAGUUCGGAAGAGAGAGACGGAAUUCCAGGUGUAGUGGUGAAAUACGUAGAUAUCUGGAAGAACACCAGUUGCGAAGGCGGUCUCUUGGUCCGAUACUGACGCUGAGGC
rnacentral:rRNA from 1 species